rnacentral:rRNA from 1 species
CGCGUAGGCGGUGCUUUAAGUCGGAUGUGUAAUCCCCGGGCUCAACCUGGGAACUGCAUCCGAGACUGGAGUGCUGGAGUGCUGGAGAGGGUGGUGGAAUUCCUCGUGUAGCGGUGAAAUGCGUAGAGAUGAGGAGGAACACCAGUGGCGAAGGCGGCCACCUGGACAGUAACUGACGCUGAGGCGCGAAAGUGUGGGGAGCAAACAGGAUUAGAUACCCUGGUAGUCCACGCUGUAAACGAUGAACACUUGGUGUGGUGGGAGUUGACCCCUGCCGUGCCGUAGCUAACGCGAUAAGUGUUCCGCCUGGGGAGUACGGUCGCAAGGCUGAA